rnacentral:pre_miRNA from 1 species
CGUGAUCUACCCUGUAGUUCCGGGCUUUUGUUGUUUUUUAAAGAAUAAUUUUUCUAUCAGAAGCUCGUCUCUACAGGUAUCUCACAG